GAGUUUGAUCCUGGCUCAGGAUGAACGCUGGCGGCGUGCUUAACACAUGCAAGUCGAACGAACCUUCGGGUUAGUGGCGGACGGGUGAGUAACGCGUGGGAAUCUGCCCUCAGGAGGGGGAUAACGGUCGGAAACGACCGCUAAUACCCCAUAUGCCGAGAGGUGGAAUGAAUUUCGCCUGAGGAUGAGCCCGCGUCUGAUUAGCUUGUUGGUGAGGUAAUGGCUCACCAAGGCAUCGAUCAGUAGCUGGUCUGAGAGGAUGAUCAGCCACACUGGGACUGAGACACGGCCCAGACUCCUACGGGAGGCAGCAGUGGGGAAUUUUCCGCAAUGGACGAAAGUCUGACGGAGCAACGCCGCGUGAGGGACGAAGGCCUCUGGGCUGUAAACCUCUUUUCUCAAGGAAGAAGAUAUGACGGUACUUGAGGAAUAAGCCACGGCUAAUUCCGUGCCAGCAGCCGCGGUAAUACGGGAGUGGCAAGCGUUAUCCGGAAUUAUUGGGCGUAAAGCGUCCGCAGGCGGCCUUUCAAGUCUGCUGUUAAAGCGUGGAGCUUAACUCCAUCAUGGCAGUGGAAACUGAUUGGCUUGAGUAUGGUAGGGGUAGAGGGAAUUCCCGGUGUAGCGGUGAAAUGCGUAGAUAUCGGGAAGAACACCAGUGGCGAAGGCGCUCUACUGGGCCAUUACUGACGCUCAUGGACGAAAGCCAGGGGAGCGAAAGGGAUUAGAUACCCCUGUAGUCCUGGCCGUAAACGAUGAACACUAGGUGUCGGGGGAAUCGACCCCUUCGGUGUCGUAGCUAACGCGUUAAGUGUUCCGCCUGGGGAGUACGCACGCAAGUGUGAAACUCAGAGGAAUUGACGGGGGCCCGCACAAGCGGUGGAGUAUGUGGUUUAAUUCGAUGCAACGCGAAGGACCUUACCAGGGCUUGACAUCCUGCGAACCUUUAAGAAAUUAGAGGGUGCCUUCGGGAACGCAGUGACAGGUGGUGCAUGGCUGUCGUCAGCUCGUGUCGUGAGAUGUUGGGUUAAGUCCCGCAACGAGCGCAACCCACGUUUUUAGUUGCCAGCAUUUAGUUGGGCACUCUAGAAAGACCGCCGGUGAUAAACCGGAGGAAGGUGUGGAUGACGUCAAGUCAUCAUGCCCCUUACGUCCUGGGCUACACACGUACUACAAUGCUACGGACAAAGGGCAGCAAACUCGCGAGAGCUAGCAAAUCCCAUAAACCGUGGCUCAGUUCAGAUCGUAGGCUGCAACUCGCCUACGUGAAGUAGGAGUCGCUAGUAAUCGCAGGUCAGCAUACUGCGGUGAAUACGUUCCCGGGCCUUGUACACACCGCCCGUCACACCAUGGAAGUUGGCCACGCCCGAAGUCGUUACUUUAACUCUUGUGGAGAAGGACGCCGAAGGUGGGGCUGAUGACUGGGGUGAAGUCGUAACAAGGUAACC
rnacentral:rRNA from 1 species